rnacentral:rRNA from 1 species
UUUUCCUGCCGGAAAGCUCCGGGAACUGGAAUUAAUACCGCAUACGCCCUACGGGGGAAAGAUUUAUCGGGGAAGGAUUGGCCCGCGUUGGAUUAGCUAGUUGGUGGGGUAAAGGCCUACCAAGGCGACGAUCCCAUAGCUGGUCUGAGAGGAUGAUCAGCCACAUUGGGACUGAGAACCGCCGCCCACCUCCGGAGGCAGGAUCGGGGGGGAGAUUGUGGGAUCGGGA